CGGGGCGUGGCUCAGCCUGGUAGAGCGCCUGCUUUGGGAGCAGGAUGUCGGAGGUUCGAAUCCUCUCGCCCCGACCA
rnacentral:tRNA from 1 species